GAGUUUGAUCUUGGCUCAGGACGAACGCUGGCGGCGUGCCUAAUACAUGCAAGUCGAGCGGAUCUUCAUUAGCUUGCUUUUGAAGAUCAGCGGCGGACGGGUGAGUAACACGUGGGCAACCUGCCUGUAAGACUGGGAUAACUUCGGGGAAACCGGAGCUAAUACCGGGAUAAUCCUUUUCCUCUCAUGAGGAAAAGCUGAAAGACGGUUUCGGCUGUCACUUACAGAUGGGCCCGCGGCGCAUUAGCUAGUUGGUGAGGUAACGGCUCACCAAGGCGACGAUGCGUAGCCGACCUGAGAGGGUGAUCGGCCACACUGGGACUGAGACACGGCCCAGACUCCUACGGGAGGCAGCAGUAGGGAAUCUUCCGCAAUGGACGAAAGUCUGACGGAGCAACGCCGCGUGAGCGAUGAAGGCCUU
rnacentral:rRNA from 1 species